GGCUGGUUGGCCUAAUGGUAAGGCGUUGCUUUCCGGCGUUCGUUAUGAGCGGGAUUUGGCAAAGAUUGCGGGUUCGAGUCCCGUGCUGGUCG